rnacentral:tRNA from 1 species
GCGGAUAUGGCGGAAUUGGCAGACGCGCUAGAUUCAGGUUCUAGUGGAUGCAAGUCCAUGGAGGUUCAAGUCCUCUUAUCCGCACCA